rnacentral:rRNA from 1 species
CCAGAGAUGGAUGGUGCCUUCGGGAACUUAGAUACAGGUGCUGCAUGGCUGUCGUCAGCUCGUGUCGUGAGAUGUUGGGUUAAGUCCCGCAACGAGCGCAACCCUUUUCCUUAUUUGCCAGCGGGUCAUGCCGGGAACUUUAAGGAUACUGCCAGUGACAAACUGGAGGAAGGCGGGGACGACGUCAAGUCAUCAUGGCCCUUACGGCCAGGGCUACACACGUGCUACAAUGGUCGGUACAAAGGGUUGCUACCUCGCGAGAGGAUGCUAAUCUCAAAAAGCCGAUCGUAGUCCGGAUCGCAGUCUGCAACUCGACUGCGUGAAGUCGGAAUCGCUAGUAAUCGCGGAUCAGAAUGCCGCGGUGAAUACGUUCCCGGGCCUUGUACACACCGCCCGUCACACCAUGGGAGUUUGUUGCACCAGAAGUAGGUAGUCUAACCGCAAGGAGGACGCUUACCACGGUGUGGCCGAUGACUGGGGUGAAGUCGUAACAAGGUAAGCGUAGAUGA